rnacentral:rRNA from 1 species
UACGAAGGGGGCAAGCGUUGUUCGGAAUUACUGGGCGUAAAGCGCACGCAGGCGGUCUGCUAAGUUUGGAGUGACAGUUGGUGGCUUAACUGCCAAAGUGCUUCGAAAACUGACAGACUUGAGGGCUUCAGAGGGACACGGAAUUCCGGGUGGAGUGGUGAAAUGCGCAGAUAUCAGGAGGAACACCGGUGGCGAAGGCGGGUCUCUGGGCCGAUACUGACGCUGAGGAGCGAAAGCGUGGGGAGCGAACAGG